rnacentral:rRNA from 1 species
AUUGAACGCUGGCGGCAUGCCUAACACAUGCAAGUCGAACGAGUGGCGGACGGGUGAGUAAUGUCUGGGAAACUGCCCGAUGGAGGGGGAUAACUACUGGAAACGGUAGCUAAUACAGCAUACCAUCGGAUGUGCCCAGAUGGGAUGAGCUAGGCGGUGGGGUAACGGCUCACCUAGGAGACGAUCCCUAGCUGGUCUGAGAGGAUGACAAGCCACACUGGAACUGAGACACGGUCCAGACUCCUACGGUAGGCAGCAGGGGGGAAUAUUGCACAAUGGGCGCAAUCCUGAUGCAGCCAUGCCGGGUGUAUGAAGAAGGCCUUCGGGUUGUAAAGUACUUUCAGCGGGGAGGCGUUACCCGCAGAAGAAGCACCGGCUAACUCCGUGCCAGCAGCCGCGGUAAUAC